UACGGAGGGGGCUAGCGUUGUUCGGAAUUACUGGGCGUAAAGGGCGCGUAGGCGGCCUGUUAAGUCGAACGUGAAAUCCCUGGGCUCAACCCAGGAACUGCGUCCGAUACUGGCAGGCUUGAAUUCGGGAGAGGGAUGCGGAAUUCCAGGUGUAGCGGUGAAAUGCGUAGAUAUCUGGAGGAACACCGGUGGCGAAGGCGGCAUCCUGGACCGAUAUUGACGCUGAGGCGCGAAAGCCAGGGGAGCAAACGGG
rnacentral:rRNA from 1 species